AGCGAACGCUGGCGGCAGGCUUAACACAUGCAAGUCGAACGCCCGUAGCAAUACGGGAGUGGCAGACGGGUGAGUAACGCGUGGGAACAUGCCCUUUGGUUCGGAAUAACUCAGGGAAACUUGAGCUAAUACCGGAUAAGCCCGAGAGGGGAAAGAUUUAUCGCCGAAGGAUUGGCCCGCGUCCGAUUAGCUAGUUGGUGAGGUAAUGGCUCACCAAGGCGACGAUCGGUAGCUGGUCUGAGAGGAUGAUCAGCCACACUGGGACUGAGACACGGCCCAGACUCCUACGGGAGGCAGCAGUGGGGAAUAUUGGACAAUGGGGGCAACCCUGAUCCAGUCAUGCCGCGUGAGUGAUGAAGGCCCUAGGGUUGUAAAGCUCUUUCAGUGGGGAAGAUAAUGACUGUACCCACAGAAGAAGCCCCGGCUAACUCCGUGCCAGCAGCCGCAGUAAUAC
rnacentral:rRNA from 1 species